rnacentral:rRNA from 1 species
UGCGGAGGGUGCAAGCGUUAUCCGGAUUCACUGGGUUUAAAGGGUGCGUAGGUGGCGGGGGUAAGUUGGAUGUGAAAUCCCGGGGCUCAACCCCGGAACUGCAUUCAAUACUGCCUUGCUAGAGUACUGGAGAGGAGAUUGGAAUUUACGGUGUAGCAGUGAAAUGCGUAGAUAUCGUAAGGAAGACCAGUGGCGAAGGCGGAUCUCUGGACAGUUACUGACACUGAGGCACGAAGGCCAGGGGAGCAAACAGG